UUGUUAGCUCAGUUGGUAGAGCAGGGGACUCUUAAUCCCUUGGUCGAGAGUUCAAGUCUCUCACGA
rnacentral:tRNA from 1 species